GGGUGCAUAGUUCAUCGGUAGAACGCUUUCCUGAUAAGAAAGAGGUGCAUGGUUCGAUUCCAUGUGCACCCA
rnacentral:tRNA from 1 species